GCCCAGUGAUGAGACCAAGGCGAAUAUGAGCUCACUGAAUGAGAGCUGGGUUCUUGUUGCUUUGACUGGCAGGUAAUCUUGGCAGUGCAGAGGAGGAUUUCUGCUCUGCUGUAAGGGGCUGCCGACAGUGACUUAGCUCAGCCCAAAUUAUUCCUCUACAGUCAUAGCGGAGUAAUUGCUUGGGCUUAUGCUGACAGUGUUUGUGUGUUGUGUGUGUGCGAAAGGCAAGAAGUUCACCCAGCUCUCGCUUCUGUUCAGUGAACCAUGAGUGUCCUCUUUGGUAAUCUGAGGGCU
rnacentral:snoRNA from 1 species